UACGAAGGGGGCUAGCGUUGCUCGGAAUCACUGGGCGUAAAGGGCGCGUAGGCGGCCUUUUAAGUCGGGGGUGAAAGCCCAGGGCUCAACCCUGGAAUUGCCUUCGAUACUGGGAGUCUUGAGUUCGGAAGAGGUUGGUGGAACUGCGAGUGUAGAGGUGAAAUUCGUAGAUAUUCGCAAGAACACCAGUGGCGAAGGCGGCCAACUGGUCCGAAACUGACGCUGAGGCGCGAAAGCGUGGGGAGCAAACAGG
rnacentral:rRNA from 1 species